rnacentral:rRNA from 1 species
UACGGGGGGGGCAAGCGUUGUUCGGAAUUACUGGGCGUAAAGGGUUCGUAGGUGGCCAACUAAGUCAGACGUGAAAUCCCUCAGCUUAACUGGGGAACUGCGUCUGAGACUGGAGGGCUUGAGUGCAGGAGAGGAACGCGGAAUUCCUGGUGUAGCGGUGAAAUGCGCAGAUAUCAGGAGGAACACCAAUGGCGAAGGCAGCUCGCUGGGACGGUACUGACGCUGAGACGCGAAAGCGUGGGGAGCAAACAGG